ensembl:lncRNA
GCGGGGGGCUGCGGGGGCGGGGCAGACCUCCAGCCGGCUCUCCGCAAACCUCGCUUCUAGCCUUGUCUUCCUGCGCCCAUUCUGGACACCCGGGCCCAGCUCUGAGUUCUUGUUUUAACACCUACUAUGCGCCAGGCCCCCCGUCGGAGGAGUCCUAGUUAGCCUUAUUAAUAAGGGUUAGAUAAUGUCCAGGCGCUCGAUAUGCAUCAGCUCGUUAAAGUUUCACAGCCUCUCCAUCAUCAUCUCCAUUUUACAUGUGAGGAAACUGAGGCGAGGAGAUGUGAAGAAAUAGGAGGGAGGGUUUCCAGGGAUGAGUAAGAGAAGAUGUCAGCCUUGAGGAGCUGUCAGUUCUAUUAUGGGCGAUUAGUGAAGGCCGACUCUCUGCCAGGUGCUGAGCACGGCAUCUUUCACCCAUUACGUGCUUGAGGAAAUUAAGGCUCGGACGCCUGCAGUAAUUUAUGCAGGGGCACUCUGCUAGGAGGGGCUGAGCUGACGCUCCAAACCUCCACUGUCCAGUCUGGUGGCCAAACAACCACCUGGAGAAAACUGUAAAGGAGGCACAGGCAGAAGGUUCGAGAACUCAGAGAUGGGGAAAUGUGGUCUUCGGGAAAAUCAGGGGCGGCAUCAAGGAGGAAGGGAAAGGUAAGCAGCCACUGAGAGGCUGAGAAUGGCUAGAGGUGGAGGUAGAGGAGGAGGGAGAGGGACGGAUGAAGCUAAAGGGAUGCCUGAGGGCUGGAACACCCAGGGCCUUGGAUUCUGAGCUCGGGCUCGUGAAUGUCAGCCUGCUGGCAGCCAGAGUCCAUGAGGGGAGUUUCUAAACAGGGGGUGAGCUAAGUCAGCCCUCACGGAGGAGGUGACGCUGAAGCAUGUGUUAGCAGCCGUGACAGCAGCUGUUGCUUAGGGAGUGGGAAGGUUUUAAGAGAAGUAGCAAAUGCUCCCAGAGAUGUGUACUUUUCCACUGAUCAUCUGGUGAGUAUCUCAGAGAGGUGGAUUUCAACUGAGUGUAGGAAAAUGCUUUUCUCCAAAGGGAGCUUUGAAGGCAGGUGGGUCAAAGUUCUGGGCAGCCUAAGCGGGAGGCCCAGCUCCACCCCUCGCUGCCUCUGCAGCCCUGGGCAGGUCCCUCCACCUGCUGGCUGCCUCAGUUACCUCAUCUACAAAAUUGGCAUGAUGGUAUGGUGGCUGUGAGCAUUAUAUGAUAUAGUGCUUCUAAAAUAUUUAGCGCAAUGUGGCAAAAUGUUAAUUAGUGAAUCUAGGCAAAGGGUGUUUGUUGUACGAUUCUUGCAACUUUUCUGUUGGUUUAAAUUUUUGCAAAAUAAAAAAGGUUGUGUGGGGUGGGGGGGAGACAGACAAUUCUCGCCUGCAUAGAACACUCAGAAACUGAUCCUAAUGGCGCCUCUGGGGAGGGGAGCUGAGUGGUUGAGAGGCGGCCUACUUUUAGUUUUCACUGUAAGCCCUUUUGUUCUUUUUAGAUUGGUAUUGUGUGUAUAUACAACUUGUAAAAUAAUUUUUUAAAGUCCUACCCAUGCCUCAAGGUCAAUGCAAAGGCCACUUCCCUUAAGAAAAAGCUUGGGAUGUUCUGCUCAGGUCGGUGGACACAUCCAGCAGCUGCCUUGAAUGGGAGGGCCCCACAACUGGGGGAUAAAGACGCGUUUGAUUCAGCCCUGCCUAGAAGGAGCUCAUACUCCAGCAAGUGGAGACAAAAAGAAACAGGAGGCGGACAAACAAAUCCAAUCCGGGGCGUGGUGAGGGUCCAGACAAGGGCAGCCGGCUCCUUAUGCAGCUUCAGGGACGGCUCCUUGGAGGAGGCAGUGGCUGAGCCGAGUUCUGAGCUGAACUCCCAGCCAGGAGAAGGUAGAGGGAAGGCAUUCCAGAUGGAAGGAGCAUGUGAGCAGAAGCUUGGGGCCUUGAAAGCAAAGGGUGCAUGAAUGCAAGCACCUCAGCAUGACUGGGUGGUACAGAGAGGGGGAGAGUAACGAGCAGUGAGAGUGACUGGGAGCCGCAAAUAGAUGGGGCGCCCGAGGGCACACGCUGUGGGAAUCCCAUCAUGACAGACUAAGGCUCAGCCUCUUCAGGGAGAUAGGUCAUGUUGUUUAUCAAUAUUAUUGUUAUUUUAUUUCCAUUUUACAGAAAACACACAUGAGCCUCAGGGCAUUUAAAGAACUUGCCUGUGGUCACAGUAUAGACCCUCUAUGUGAGGAUUCAAGCCCACACAGGCAAUACCAGAGCUGCCUGGUCAAUGGGGAACCAGUAAAUGGAUCUUUCAGAUUGAGCGCUUAAAUGAGGGCUAUUGGCCUGGAGAAUGACUCAGAGGUGGAGGACCGGAAACAUGAUCAACCGGGAAGCUACUGCAAUAGCCCAGAGCGUAGAGAAGGUGGGGGUCUGAGCUAGGACGGGGUCAGUGGGAGGUGGAGAUCAGAAUGAAUCUGGGAAACACUCAGGAGGUGGAAUAUGUAGAUCUAGCCACUCACUGUGCUGCCCUCCAGAACUUGACUAGACUGGGCGCCAGAGGGCAGGGCUGGAUCUCAUUCCUGCUGUCUCCCCCAGGCCUACUUCAGUGCCUGGCACAUAAUGGCUGCUCACAAAGCCCUGCCGAGUGAAUGAAGCCACACUUGCUGUUCUGUCUUGUAUUGUCGUAUUUCCCACACACAAUUAUAAAACCCAUGCAAAUAUAAGCCUUGGGUUCCAUUUGCAGGAGCCUAGAAUAGCACGUCACACAAGGUCAAAUACCCAAUGGAAACAUGUCAACAUUCACUGGGCUGUACACCUGAGAUGUGCUCCCUUUAUUGUGCACGUCUCAGUGUACAAUGUGUAUCUCAAAUAAACAGCAAAGAAGUGAACAAAGACAGGUUUCUCAGGUGGGCCCCAAAUGCAAGUCCUGCUCUUUGCACCUGAUGGCAUCGUGUGAGGGAGCAGAACUUACACACACACACACACACACACACACACACAGGAAAAUCCACUCUCACAUCAAGCUUUGGAACCUCGCACAAAUAGGCACGCACACACAGGUAACCGCUGUGUUAUCUCUGUCAUCACACAUUAGUCUGGUUUGUCCAUGAACUGUCUAUAAGUAGAACCUGCACUCUCUGUGUCUGGCUUUUCUCACUCAACAGUACGUCUGAGCAAUUUGUCCAUGGUGUUGUGUGUAUCAGUGCUUCAUGCUUUUUCACUGCCCCCUCGCAGUCCAUUGUGUAGUUAUAUUGCAAUUCAUCUGGCCGUGCUCCCAUGGGUGUCCAUUUGGGAUGUUUCCAGUUUGGGUUAUCAUGAAGAAAGCUCUUAGGGACAUCCUUGUGCGCGUCUUUUGGUGGACUUAAGGACUUAUUUCUGUACACCGAGGAGGGGAUGACAGGGUUCUUUGGUAAGCCUAUGUUUGAUUUGACAGGAAACUGCCCAACAGUUCUCCCAACCUGGGAGCUGACUCUCCUCUCACCCUUUCUCUUCUUUUUCUUGAGGAAGAUUAGCCCUGAGCUAACAUCUGCCACCAAUCUUCCUCUUUUUGCUGAGGAAGACUGGCCCUGAGCUCACAUCCGUGCCCAUCUUCCUCUACUUUAUGUGUGAGACACCUACCACAGUAUGGCUUGCCAAGCGGUGCCAUGUCCGCACCCGGGAUCAGAACCGGCGAACCCCAGGCCACUCAAGCGGAAGCCCAGCAAUCCUAACACCCAUGAAUUUAUUCCAAGACAGCAAAAUGAAAGAGGUCCACGGACACUGUUCACCGAAUGUGCAGCGCCUGUUACAGAGGAGCGGCUUCAAAAAUAUUUGUUGGAUCUGAGAUUGAGCUACAGCAUCGUUCUUUGCAGCUUUGUUUGUAAAAGGAAAGACCAAAAGCAACAGACAUGGACGACCUUACGGUGCCAGCUAAAUAAACGACAGCAGAUCCAUAAAACAGAAUGAUGUCCUGUCGUUAAAAUCAGGUUGUAAUAACACUCGUAGAUGCCCCGCCCACCAAGAGGUGGGGCUUAAUCCUCCUCCCCUUGAGUGCGGCAUGGACUUUAUGGCUGGUAUCUAAAGGAUGGAGUGGAAGGGGGAAAAUAGUACUUUUACAGAGGAGAGACCCAGCAGACACUCCCUUCCCUUAACGUCAGCAGAGAUAAAUCGUGGAGAUGUCAGGUACUCCGCAGGAUGCAAUGAGAAGGGCACCUCACCUCUGUGGUCUUCUCCCUCAAAAACCGUACCCCAGUCUCAUCGUGAGAAAGACAUCACACAUACCUGAACUGAGGGGCAUUCUACAAAAUGCCUGAGAAGUCUUCUUCAAAACCGUCAAGGUCACGAAAAACAAGGGAAGACUCAGAAACUGUCGGGGACCAGAGGAGCCAAAGGAAGGGACUUAGACCGAAUGCCACGUGGCAUCCAAAAUGGAGUCCUGGAAUAUGAAAAAGACUUUUGUGGAAGAACUGGCAAAAUCCUAAUGAAGUGCAUAGUUUAGUUAAUAAUAUUUUACUGACGUUAAGUUUUCAGUUUUGGCAGAUAUAGCAUGGUUAUGCAAGACGUUAGCAUCCGGGGAAGCUGGGUGAAGAGUACACAGGAACUCCUGUGCUCUCUUGGCUAUAAACCUAGAAUCAGUCAAAAAUUUAAUAUUAUUUAAAAAAAAACAGAAUGUAGAUAUUUAUUAGCAUAGAAAUGUAUUCAUGAUAUGUUAAGGGGAAGUCUGUGUAUGGUGUCAUACAGUUUUUGCUGAAUGAGCCCAUUUUUGUAAAAAAAAAAUACUGAUAAGGUGUGUAUAUAUACAUGAAUGGAUAUACAUGCACAUAUACACACACACGCAGGAAAACAAAAGUCUAGGAAGACAUCCUUCCAGGAUUUCGGCCUCCAGGGCCCGGCAGGAGAGGACCGUAGUGGCCGUGGUGAGCCGGAGUGUUUACGGUCCUUCUAAAACAGGCAGCAGCUUCAUGGCCCCAGCCAGUUGCUGUCCUGCAGGACUUGGAACCAGUUCUGAUAGAUCAUCUCAUUUUCCAAAAGAAAUUGAAACCGAG